rnacentral:rRNA from 1 species
UGGGGAAUGUUGGACAAUGGGCGAAAGCCUGAUCCAGCAAUGCCGCGUGGGUGAAGAAGGUCUUCGGAUUGUAAAGCCCUUUCGGCGGGGACGAUGAUGACGGUACCCGCAGAAGAAGCCCCGGCUAACUUCGUGCCAGCAGCCGCGGUAAUACGAAGGGGGCUAGCGUUGCUCGGAAUGACUGGGCGUAAAGGGCGCGUAGGCGGCGCACUUAGUCGGGCGUGAAAGUCCUGGGCUCAACCUGGGGACGGCGCUCGAUACGGGUGGGCUUGAGUGUGGAAGAGGGAUGUGGAAUUCCUAGUGUAGAGGUGAAAUUCGUAGAUAUUGGGAAGAACACCGGUGGCGAAGGCGGCAACCUGGUCCAUUACUGACGCUGAGGCGCGAAAGCGUGGGGAGCAAACA